CAGUUCAGAAAUAGUUUAAAUCUUUCAGGUGAUUUUUUUUUCCUUUUAUCUUGUUUUUCUAUUUUUUUUUAAUGGUAAAACUUUUGUGAACAAAUUCCCCCUUAAUGAUGCCAUUUGAUUCUUUUAUUUGUCUGCAUUCUAUUUAUAUAUACAUGUAUAUAUGUGUAUAUAUAUAUAUAUUAUUUUAAUUUUAAAUUAUUUAAUUAAAUUUUCUGUGACAUUUGUCUAAAAUUAUCAUACAUAAACAAUAUGCAAAUUUCAGUGUGGUGUGUGGAUCGUGACACAACGAUAACAAUACAAAUCAAUAUUUAUAAUUUAUUUUAAUUUAUACAAAAUAAUAUUUAUAAUUUACUAAAUAUUCUUUCCAUUUCAAAUCAUACAAAAUUAAGCUAAAACACGAUAACUAAAAAUUUCAUUUAUGAUGAAAAUGAAUAAAAACAUAAGUUACAUAACUUGUCAUAUCAUUUAUAAUAAUGUAAAGCUUUGCAUACAAUUAUUUAAUAUUUUUAUACAAAAUUUUAAUAAAAUAGCAUUUGCUUCGCUAUUAAAAUUUGGCACACGUCGAAGCCAGCAA
rnacentral:lncRNA from 1 species